UCUCUAUUCGCGCUUCAAGCCUAGCGCUCGUUCCAGUUAGUAUAUAUCUCGGUGGAGAGGACCUAACUUUGUUCCGUUCCUCUAUUUACGGACCUUGGCGCAACAUCGCCAACCACGCGAGAUUUUAUCGCGCGCGUAAGCUGAGCUUGCCAACAGCUGGGAUCGAAAUGGCUCUUGCACCGCUCUUGCACCGCUCUCAUUGCACUUUCCGUACUCGGGUGUAAUUCGGGAACGAAAAAGAGAGAGGGAAGUGCUUUCUUUGUUUAUUCGCGCUUCAAAUGGAAGUUUAGGUAGAGACGCCGGGAAGGACAAAUUUUUGAUAUAUCGCUUUUGGACAUUAUACAUGACUUAAUAUUUUAUAAUAUCUCGUAUUUUGGUUCAAACCUUUCUUCUUUUUUUACAAACAUGUAUCUGAUAUACCGAUUGUUUAACAGCGUGAUAUUUGUAAUGAUAAAUGCGACCAUCGUGUUGUACGUCUGUCAGCGUUUUUUCCGAGCAUUGAGAGAACACUACCAGAUCAUGGCUGAAGCUGAGCGAUUUAAUACGAUCAUUUCCGAGUCACGUGCGACGCUUGCUUAUAUGACCUCGAAGGUAUCCGCGGGAAUGGAUCAGAUGAAAGAAGACAUCGCCAAAGAAUUGUCUAUUACCGAUCACUUGACAAAACUUAGCUCGAAAGUAGGUCUGUUGCUGCAACGUUACUCCGGAUUGGAAGAAGAAUUGAUCGAGCUCGUACGAAUGGACCACAACACGAAGAGCGUGAGGGUUGAGACGCCGGUUGACAUCAACGAGGAAGUGAGAAGUAUCCUCACGGCGGCAGGGGCAAAACAAGCACCUCCAUCGGAACAUCCGCGUGCGCCGAAGAAGCUGCGAAUAUCGACCGCCACUUCCGUGGCAACGAGGGAUCCUCCUCCGUCGCAGAAUACCAUCGCCAAGUUCAUCGCGUCGCAGUCGUACGACCUCUGCGAUCUCUCGUACGUAACGACGUUGGAGAGACAGGAGAGACCACGUACGCCCGUUUACCCGGAAGUGCAGCUGCUGAACGACUCUCGAGCUACAGCCAACGCGAAACCCAUUGGCUUCCGGCCAUCGUGGAAGUGCGAAGCUUAGACUGAUUCUCGAUGACAAUGCCCGAUCACAUGUUACAAAAGUCAUCAAGGAAACACUGACAGAGCUCGAAUGGGAGGUUCUUCCGCAUACCGCAUUCUCCAGACCUGGCUGCGUCUGAUUACAACUUGUUCAAGACACACGCUUUCGAAAUAACGAAAACAUUCCGAAACCGAAGUCAGCGUUGGGUAGUAUCUAGAUACAGCAUCUAGAUACACCCCUGCGCAUCCGAGCGCGU
rnacentral:misc_RNA from 1 species